GCACUCCAGACCCUUCCCCAGCUCCAUUGCCCUUCUCUGGACACGCACCAGCACCUCAAUGUCCUUCCUGAAGUGUGGGGCCCAGAACCGGACACAGGAUUUUAGGUCCCUCAGCAGUGCCGAGUAAAGAGGGUUCUGUUACAGGUGUGAGCCUGAGACUAGAACAAGACUAGAGAUGUACAUUGCUGCUGUGGUUAGUAGGCUGUGCAGAUGUGGCUGUUGUACAGUUGGAAACUGAGCUGGACCACAUGGGUAGCACAAAGUUCAUGAUCUGAUUCCUGGUCGUGACCUGUACCAAAAGCUUUGGAGAAAGCUGUAAAAAUAAAAGUAA